UGUGGGUGAUUGUCUAUGUUAGUUGCUUGUGUCAGCACAGGUCUCAUUUAUAGCGUCACGGUUGUUUAUUGUUUUUGUAUAGUUUGUAUUCAGUGUUCAGUGUUCAGUGCUUUCUUUUAUUAAAUAUUCAUCAUGAACACAUACCACGCUGCAUUUUAGUCCUCCGAUCCCUCUCGCCUCUCCUCUUCAGAUGAAGAGGAGGACGCCCGUGACAGUUAUUGAACUAUCUAAGAUCCAGUUUGCACAAACUAUUGACGAGGCACAGGAAGUGGUUAUGGAGGCCUCUGGACAACUGCUCAUGUUGGGGUCAGUGCGAUACAUUCGUACAUUGGAGGAGAGGGAUGCCCUGGUGGAGUCAGCCACAAAGUUAUACUUAGAAAGCAGGCUACAGGAUGCUCUUGAGCAAUUCAAAGAGGGUCUGGAGUGUCUUGGUCUCCUGCCUUACAUGAAUAGACACUCAAGCCUAUUCAGAGAGGUUUUCAUCUAUGCUGAGAAGCCUCUUUUGGCCAAAGACAUAGCUUCUUUCUUCAAAGCAGAGCUCUCCCCACCUGGUACCAAUCAAAGAGCAAUAGAGAGCCGAGUCGUUUGUUUCUGGAGGGACUGGCUGCUGGAGGUGGAAAGUUAGAUGCAAAACCAUGAUCAUUGAAGUUACACGGCCCACAUCGAGGGGAAUGCAUACCAUUUAACCCUGGAGAAGGUUCUCAUUUUCACUUCGACCAUUCCUAGGCUGGGAUUCCCAGUGGAGCCACAGCUACAGUCAUUACCCAAACAACAGGAUCUUCCUGGAAGCAAAUACAUGCAGCAUUGAUUUAAGGCUGCCAAUACACCCAACUUAUGCAGCCUUCAGGUAGAAAAUGGAGAGUGGAAUUCUACAGUCACCAACAUUUGGUGUCAUUUAAAGGGAAUGAAUUUAAGGGGAAUUAUCCUAAAUGUUUAUUGCAUGACUACCUAGUAAAGUUGAGAAUACUGCAAUGUUAAUUGGUGAUGAGUCCCAAAAGGAUUUAUAUAUUCUGAAAGUUUGACAAGUUCGGCCAUCAUCCAAAAAAAGUUGUAGUGAAAGUUUUCAAAAACAUUACAACCAACCAAAAUCAAUUGGACACAGUAAUAAAUCAUUCAGCUUUAAUAUUUGAAUAAAUGUAUGAAUUAU